ACUGACAAAGAGAAGUGUCUGAGAGCGGUCUCUCCGGUUUUCAGGUUUCCACUCCUGCUGGGCAGACCUGACUUCUUUGGCUUGACCACCGCACACGUAUUUCCUCCCCGGUUUCUCCCAGACCAGAGCAAACUGGAGGCGUGUAGUCCGAUGCGUGCUGUCUCGGCGAUGGAGAAAGAAUACGAGUGAGGUCCUGCAGGUUCUCCAGCUGUUAACUCCUUAGUGCCCGCACUGCACCUGGAAGAAGGGCCAGGGAUCAGAGCGGUGCCCGGCUUCCACCAGCCACCUGGAGGGAAACUGUGCCGCGUUUCUGGAUUCUACAGCUCUUCUCUAAGAGCUCAGGGAUGCGGAUCGGAGGUAUGCUGUGCCACACUGGAGAAAGUUCUCGGUUGCUGUGAGCUUCAGCUUGAUGGAGAAAUGAAGAGCCGAGGAUGCAAUGGGGUGUAUGAACAUCCCUGUGGGUUAUAGACAUGUCAAGUUCGUUGUGACAAGAGUGGACUUCGGUUAGACUGUGGGUUGAACUUCGCGUUGCCCAUAGCUAUGGGAGAUCUAGGAUUAGAUCUCAUAAGCACUGUAGAAACAGAGCCAAGAGUCCCACUUUCAUGACUCAAAUUGAGUUACCAGUGAAGGCAUAGGAAGUAACCUUGGCGGCUUCAAGAAUUCCCAUCAUGCUCUUCUGCACUGAACUUCUGACUCCUAUCAAGGGCUGGAGUCUGUGUCUUUUUCCUUGAAUUUGGAUGGAUCUUGGGACCUGGCUGUAUCCAAAAAACAUAAUGGUGAUGGUGCCCUAAGUGGAGUCUGGACCCUGCAGUUGGGUCUGUGGCUCAGUGGGUAAAGAGCUUGCCUAGCUUGCAUGAAGCCCUGAGUUCAAUCCCCAAUGCUGCACACACCAGUAGUCCCAGUUCUGGGGAGGUGGAGGCAGGAAGAUUAGAAGUCAAGGACAUCCUCAGCUACACAGGGAAUUCAAGAUGAGCCUGAGCUUCACGAGACCCUCUCUCACUGAAAAAAAUAAAUAAAAUGAGCCAGGAUGUAGCUCAAUGGCAGAGUGCUUACCUCGCAUGCAAGAUGCCCUGGGUCCAUCCUCAGCAGAGCAACAUCCAAAAAGCCCUCGGCAGCUUUCCAUUUUAGCUGCAAUUCUAAUUUAGGGCUUAGGCUCGAGUCAAGAAGUAAUCCCCCCCACCAUCCAUCCUUGGGUACUUUUCUGAAGCUAGCAAAAGUGGGGGUCCCUCACCCUUGGACAUCAGGGACUUGAUAGUAGAAUGUUUAGAUGUACAUGUGUGCUGGAUUCGUAGAUGCUGGGCUGCUCAGUGUGGAGUCCUGGUAACUCACAGUCCCCCUAGGGAGACAUAGAUGCCCAGCUCCAGUUCCACUUCUCCUUAAUCUACCCCCUUCCUUCCCAUCACCAUCAAUACUUCAAAUAAACUGAGCCCAGCAAGAAGCUGGAAGUCAGGCAGGUGGAUCUCUGUGAGUAUGAGGCCAGCCUGGUCUACAGAGCUAGUUCAAGGCUACACAA